AACGAACGCUGGCGGCAGGCUUAACACAUGCAAGUCGAACGCCCCUUCGGGGGAGUGGCAGACGGGUGAGUAACGCGUGGGGACGUGCCCUUCAGUUCGGGAUAACCCAGGGAAACUUGGGCUAAUACCGGAUACGUGCGAGAGCAGAAAGAUUUAUCGCUGAAGGAUCGGCCCGCGUCUGAUUAGCUGGUUGGUGAGGUAACGGCUCACCAAGGCGACGAUCAGUAGCUGGUCUGAGAGGAUGAUCAGCCACACUGGGACUGAGACACGGCCCAGACUCCUACGGGAGGCAGCAGUGGGGAAUAUUGGACAAUGGGCGCAAGCCUGAUCCAGCCAUGCCGCGUGAGUGAUGACGGCCUUAGGGUUGUAAAGCUCUUUCGUCCGGGACGAUAAUGACGGUACCGGAAGAAGAAGCCCCGGCUAACUUCGUGCCAGCCGCCGCCGUAAUAC
rnacentral:rRNA from 1 species